CACGGGGGUUGCGAGCGUUGUCCGGAAUUACUGGGCGUAAAGGGUGCGUAGGUGGUUUCUUAAGUCAGAGGUGAAAGGCUACGGCUCAACCGUAGUAAGCCUUUGAAACUGAGAAACUUGAGUGCAGGAGAGGAGAGUAGAAUUCCUAGUGUAGCGGUGAAAUGCGUAGAUAUUAGGAGGAAUACCAGUUGCGAAGGCGGCUCUCUGGACUGUAACUGACACUGAGGCACGAAAGCGUGGGGAGCAAACAGGAUUAGAUACCCUGGUAGUCCCUGA
rnacentral:rRNA from 1 species